UGCUGACAGUUGUGGCUUGUUUUCC
rnacentral:piRNA from 1 species